rnacentral:rRNA from 1 species
GUGCAAUGCGCAUGCUAUACAUGCAAGUCGAGCGAGACAUGAUCCAGGAGCUUGCUCCCUGAUGUUAGCGGCGGACGGGUGAGUAACACGUGGGUAACCUGCCUGUAAGACUGGGAUAACUCCGGGAAACCGGGGCUAAUACCGGAUGGUUGUUUGAACCGCAUGGUUCAAACAUAAAAGGUGGCUUCGGCUACCACUUACAGAUGGACCCGCGGCGCAUUAGCUAGUUGGUGAGGUAACGGCUCACCAAGGCAACGAUGCGUAGCCGACCUGAGAGGGUGAUCGGCCACACUGGGACUGAGACACGGCCCAGACUCCUACGGGAGGCAGCAGUAGGGAAUCUUCCGCAAUGGACGAAAGUCUGACGGAGCAACGCCGCGUGAGUGAUGAAGGUUUUCGGAUCGUAAAGCUCUGUUGUUAGGGAAGAACAAGUACCGUUCGAAUAGGGCGGUACCUUGACGGUACCUAACCAGAAAGCCACGGCUAACUACGUGCCAGCAGCCGCGGUAAUACGUAGGUGGCAAGCGUUGUCCGGAAUUAUUGGGCGUAAAGGGCUCGCAGGCGGUUUCUUAAGUCUGAUGUGAAAGCCCCCGGCUCAACCGGGGAGGGUCAUUGGAAACUGGGGAACUUGAGUGCAGAAGAGGAGAGUGGAAUUCCACGUGUAGCGGUGAAAUGCGUAGAGAUGUGGAGGAACACCAGUGGCGAAGGCGACUCUCUGGUCUGUAACUGACGCUGAGGAGCGAAAGCGUGGGGAGCGAACAGGAUUAGAUACCCUGGUAGUCCACGCCGUAAACGAUGAGUGCUAAGUGUUAAGGGGGUUUCCGCCCCUUAGUGCUGCAGCUAACGCAUUAAGCACUCCGCCUGGCGAGUACGGUCGCAAGACUGAAACUCAAAGGAAUUGACGGCGGCCCGCACAAGCGGUGGAGCAUGUGGUUUAAUUCAAAGCAACGCGAAGAACCUUACCAGGUCUUGACAUCCUCUGACAAUCCUAGAGAUAGGACGUCCCCUUCGGGGGCAGAGUGACAGGUGGUGCAUGGUUGUCGUCAGCUCGUGUCGUGAGAUGUUGGGUUAAGUCCCGCAACGAUCGCAACCCUUGAUCUUAGUUGCCAGCAUUCAGUUGGGCACUCUAAAGUGACUGCCGGUGACAAACCGGAAGAAAGGUGGGGGAUGACUUCCAAUCAUCCUGCCCCUUAUCACCUGGGCUUAAAAGGUGCCGCCAAUGGACUUAGCAAGGGGACCAAAACCACCAAGGUUAAGCAAGCCCCCGAAUUCGUUUCUCAUUCGGAAACCAACUUCCCCAAUCUACUUGCUUGAUACUGGAAUCCCUUCUUAAAUGGAG